rnacentral:rRNA from 1 species
AUACGGAGGGGGCUAGCGUUGUUCGGAAUCACUGGGCGUAAAGCGCUCGUAGGCGGAUUGGUCAGUCAGAGGUGAAAUCCCAAGGCUCAACCUUGGAACUGCCUUUGAUACUGCCAGUCUUGAGGUCGAGAGAGGUAAGUGGAAUUCCUAGUGUAGAGGUGAAAUUCGUAGAUAUUAGGAAGAACACCAGUGGCGAAGGCGACUUACUGGCUCGAUUCUGACGCUGAGGAGCGAAAGCGUGGGGAGCAAACAGGAUUAGAUACCCCAGUAGUCC